AGAAAUUCUGAAUAUGCCUCUGCGUGUCUUCAUGAGAUAGACCCACAUAUUGCCAAUCAGCUUUACCAUGUAUUGUUUGCGUUCAAAGUGCCCUGUGAUAUCAGGCUUUACAAUAGUCUGAGUCAUAUUAGCAAGACUGGGCCUUGCUGCUUCAAUCACCUCGCGCUCUUCAUUACCUGCCAUCUUUAUUGGCUGUGGUUAAACUACGAUGUCCAACUCUCUUUCAAUUCUGGUUCUAGCGUCUACUUCCCUCUC
rnacentral:lncRNA from 1 species